UAAGUUUUUUUUAUUAGUAUUUUCUAUUAAGAGCAUUCAUUUUCAAUGCCUAAAACUUGUUAUUAAAUCUCGAAAUUAUUAAUUAAGGUCAUAAAUACCAAAGUUACCUUAACUAUCAGUGUCACAGUGAAUUAAAACCUUAAUAAGCAAAUAAAUGACAACCAUCUAACCGCCAUAUUGUAAAUAAAUAAGCUGUAUGGAGAAAGUUGACAAAGCAUUAUCACGACAGAAAUUUUAAUUGUACUGGAAAAGAUCGUCCUCGCGUGUGCUUUUUACGAUUCUCUAAAUAUUCUACCCAUUGCCAAUCGCAAGAACUGUACAAGACAAACGCAAUAGAAUUUCGGAUUAAAACACGAUCAUGUUCUUCACUUUCGUCAAAUUUUAUAAAUCUUCAAUGAAUCUAGUGCCCUACGAUGACCUAUGAGUCCUAUGACCUAAAGUUUGAACUGUAUAGAAACAAGGAUGUUUAAUUAAUGUGCCGAGUUCCUGUUCGAAUCGAUAUACCGAUCGAAAUGGGCUCAAAUAUGAAAUCUGUCACUCCUAGCAAGUAAACUGACAACUCUAUUGGAAUAGUCCCUGUUGCCUGACUUACAUGAACUGUAAACAAUGACAAUGUAUUGAAAUUAUGCUGGAGAACCCCGCUUGCUGGAUUUGAUGAAUCUUUACACAACCUUAAAGACAAACAGAGACAACUCUGAUGGCUGCCUAUAUAUACCCAUACCUAGUGUUUGGUGAUGUUUAAGCCGAGCGGAGCAAAUUUCCGUUUGCUGUUUUCAUGGACUUUUCCGAGUCUCUCGAUAAUCUCCAACAAACAGAAUGGUUUCCUGAUACCUGGCCGUUAGGUCACCUAGCAGUCAGUUAAACUUAAGCCAAGCGAAGGAAAUCUCGAUGGUUAUUUUCAUGAUUCCUGUUUCUCCAUGUCUUACCACAAUUUUCAAUGUUCCGGAGAACUAACAGUGCCCCGCAGAGUCAUUACGUCUAGCCUCAAAAUACACACUAUGGAAUGCUUCUAUUUCUGAAAGAUUACGAAGGACCACACCUCUCCAGACUCCUGUUCAAUAAUUUUAUUUCACAACUUUUGCUGUAACAAUGGCUGCUGUCUACUGCCACUUCAAAGUUCCUGUCCCACGGCUCUAUUUCUAGAAACCCGCACCCACAACAGCAGUGGUCUACAUUGAAUACUACUUAUAGGGAAAGUGACACUCAAGAUCUUUUAUGUUAGGUACUUAGUAUGCUAGGCUUAACCAAUCAUGUACUAUUAUUCGACCGUAGUCAGAAUACGAUGGAAAAGUACCGUCAACAGACCGUCCGUCCGUACCGUCGUCAGUACUGUAAUCCUUAGUCAACCUAUGUCUAAUAUACUUUUAUACUACAAAUAAGUAUGUUUUUGUAUGUGCGCCGUUAGUCAGGGCAAUAACGUAUUACAUAUCUCGGUCGAUUUUCAUGAAAAACAAAGCACUCUUACAGGUCCUAGUAAAUAAUAGCAAUGACUGUAGAUAGUAACUAUGCACAUAUUUCACUGCUAUUCUUAAUAAAUAUAGUGAGGGUUCUGAAGAAGGCCUAUGUAGCUAAAUUCUCAUACAUAUGUAUAUGUACUACUAAUCUUCUAAUAAUUAUUAUAUGACGUACUAUGACUGUUUGCUUUCCUAGUCUAAAUGUCCUAACAUGUGUGGUAAAUAACUCUGUCAACUGUACUUAAUCAGAUCCCUAGUUCAUACAUAUAUACAUGAUUAUCCUACAGUAACUAAUGUAUGAUGUUCACAUACAAUAAUCAAACCAAACAUAGUCCUAACGUAUGUGUGGUUGUUACUUAGACCCACGUUCAUACAGAUUAAUUGUACCUAACAGAAUGAACUGUUUGUUGCUACUAUUCUAUGAGUGACAAAGCUGUGCUUAACCGUCAGAUAAUGCAUGAACUUUAUUAUCCGAUCUGUAGGUUAUAGGAUGAUAUUUUAUGAGUUUAUAAACUUUCUAAUAACAGUCGAACUCCUAUAUUAUCACAUGCGCGUAGCUUAUUUAUAUGACAUAGAAAACAAAUUUCAAACAAAUCGCCCAAUGGUGAGUCGAGCGAUCGCAAAACCAGAGGAGUUGUAACUGCGUUGCCGGCAUAUAUAGAAAAGUACGAAAGAUGCGGAAUACGCCCCCUAUUCCUUAGUAUUUUAAGAAAAUCUACGUGAAAUGGAGCUAUUUCACGCCCCCAUGAUUUUUCGAGUAAAGCACAACUUCUAACAGACCUGUGUUUUAUCUAGGCUAUACCUAACCGCAUCCUAGGUAGACUUAGGUAAUGUUAACUUAUGUCUAGACUAUUGGCACUAGCCUCCUAGCUUACUAGGUAGCGACCCUUCCUAUGACAGCUGCCUAACAAAAGCAUCCGCUUGCCCGUCUACUACGAAUAUGCGUUCCUAAAUCAUGGAUAUUAUCUAUUUAUCUAAGUUUUAAGUAUGUACUUAUCCAUAGAAAUAUACACUACGCCGCAUAGUACCUAUAGCACAAACUUUGCCUAUUUGAGACACGGUCGAUAUGUGAAAGACUGACUUGAAAAUAUUUAUUUAUUUAUUUCAUUAUUGUUAUUGGUCCCUGCUACAAAUAUAAUUUCUUAACAAAUCUAUGACGCGAAAGGAACAAGUAUGAUUAUUUUCGCUUAAGAUAGUCGUUGUAUGUACUAAAGUUAUACUACAUAGGUUUUAAUUUUGCUAUUAUUAUUUUUCAGGUAUCAAGGCGCAAGAAGAUGAAAUUAUAAUUGAUUAUUUUGUGAUGACACGUCUUAAAUAUGAAAUGAAUCCCCUAACAACGGCGAUAAGAAAACGAGUAAAGAAGACUGAUAUACUUAUUAUGUAGAAAAUAACUAUAAGGAUUUAUUUAUUAAGUAGAAAAUAACUCUAAGGAUUUUUUUUGUACAUAAUAACAGUUUGAAAAAUAAACGUUAGAUUUUA